GUAGGACCUGGUACAAGAAAAUUGCAAUUUACAUAACCCAGAUUGCAAUUUUCAAUGCCUAUGUGCUUUAUAAAAAGGAAGCCAUAGGUAGACCAUGCCCAUUUCUAGAGUUUAUGGUCCAAAUUUUGUCUCAAAUUAUAUUUGCCCAGACCCCAAAUCCUAACCCUCCUUUGGAAUCAGAAGAUGUCCAACGACUUUUCAGCAAACAUUUCCCUUCCCGAAUCCCCCCACACCCUGUAAAAGGUCACCCCAA